rnacentral:rRNA from 1 species
UGAGGAAUAUUGGUCAAUGGGCGGAAGCCUGAACCAGCCAAGUAGCGUGCAGGAUGACGGCCCUAUGGGUUGUAAACUGCUUUUAUACGGGGAUAAAGUCAGCCACGUGUGGUUGAUUGCAGGUACCGUAUGAAUAAGGACCGGCUAAUUCCGUGCCAGCAGCCGCGGUAAUACGGAAGGUCCGGGCGUUAUCCGGAUUUAUUGGGUUUAAAGGGAGCGCAGGCCGGAAGCAAAGCGUGCCGUGAAAUGU